GGGGUUAUAGCUCAGUUGGGAGAGCGCUUGAAUGGCAUUCAAGAGGUCGUCGGUUCGAUCCCGAUUAACUCCACCA
rnacentral:tRNA from 1 species